rnacentral:lncRNA from 1 species
GGGUGAACCAGAUCUGGGCCUUUGCGGGUGGGUCACUGAACCGUCCCCUCUCGGGGUCAGCCAGUCACCAGGGUUCUCCAUUCCAAGUGAGUGUCUGCACCUGAGGCGCUCUGUGGUACCUCGGGGACAUCUGAAGAAGAAUGGAACCCUUCUCCUACAGGAGGAGCAGGCAGCCAGGGCCAUCAUGAGGGAGCAGCUAAGUGCAUGCACAAAGAUGGUGGCCGGAGGCCAGGAGGCUGCAGCUGCUUCCCCAAGGCCACACCCAGCCCUGCCUUCUGAGCGGAGUCUCCUUAGCUUUGGGUGGGGAUGGUGUUAACUGAAUGGAAUGAUACGUGUAAGGGGCUUAGCAUAGCGCCUCCGCAGAGGGCCCUUAUAGGGAGAUCCAUCUGUAUCUUCUUCAGUGCCCCUCUAGUAGAGGCUGUGGGUUGAUGUGUGGGCCCUACGAUGAGAUCCAGGGGAAGGCCCCCAGCUCCUGGCCUGCUCUCAGCCUGUGUGUGAUGAUAAACACCACUGCUCCGGGUGUACGUUCUUCAUCCCUGGGGUGGAGUUGGGAUGUGUGGCUAGGAAGACUUGCUAGAUCAUGGAGGGACCAGGCUGCUGGGCCUCAACCUGACCAGCAUCUCCACCCCCCGCCCCACUCCAGCCAGUGUGGGGAGCUCUGCGGUGAUGAGCACGGCCAUCAUGGCGACGCUGCUGCUCUUCAAGCAUCAGUAGGGUGUGUUCCUGUCGCAGCUCCUGGGGGAGUUCUCCUGGCUGACGGAGGAGAUACUGUUGCGUGACUUUGAUGUAGGCUUCUCUGGGCAGCUGCGGAGCCUGCUGCAGCACUCACUGAGCCUGCUUCGGGCGCAUGUGGCCCUGCUGCGCAUCCGCCAGGGCGACUUGCUGGUGGUGCCGCGGCCUGGCCCAGGCCUCACACACCUCACCUGGCAUGGCUGAGUGCUGAGCUGCUGCCCAUCUUCCUGAGCGAGGCUGUGGGCGGAAAGUAGACACAAAUUGGAACCAUGGAAUUCAAACAACGGUCUCUUAAAUGAAGUCACAGAAACUACGUGGAAAUUUAAAACGUUGAACCCUGUCCUCAGUUGUAUGCACCUCUGCACAACAGGUCUAUCUUCUGGAAGGGUAAGGUAUUUCUUCUCACAUUUUUUUCCUUCUGUCUUCUAAAAAGCUUCAUGUGAAAGCAGAAGACUCAUGAGAAGACAUCUAGAGACUGGCC